GUAUUUUUUCAGGCACAUGAAUGCAUGGUCAAACAUGUACUUUGAACUAUACUUUCCUGUUGGAUAUUCUUUUAGCAUGUUAUUAAAUGUAUGCUUUUCACACAAACACACUAAUGUUGUUAAUUCUUCCUUUUUUCCAUCUUCAUCCUCCGACAUUUUUGUUCCGCUCUUUCUCUCUUGUUGGUCCAUUUAUGUCACUUUGGAUCUAUGAAAUAGUUUCUAGCAUGUAAUUGUUUAAUUUGUGCUUUUGUAAAGGAAUUUAUGAUUUUAAACCAAAAUUCAAAAUUAAGUUUUUGAGAAUUCAUUCAAUAUGUCAUUCAGUCUAAACCUACUGAAAAUUCUCUAAAUGCAAAUUUUUUUUGAGUUCAACGAGAAUAAACGAGUCAGAAUUUGAAGUUACUUAACGGUAUUGUUGGCGACUCUAUUGGCCCUUAAAUAGAAAUGACAUUUUGAGAGGACGAACAGUGCAAUAAAUAGUUGUACUCUAAGUAAUGCAAGUUAUACUGUAUGUGGGCAUACAUCAUUAUACAAGUACUGCUUCAUAACACAUUUUUCUCUUUUCUAGAUAACACGUGUUCCAUUUGCUACUUUUUGAAGACACAUGUAUGGCCACAUUUGUUCAUCAUCUCUAUCACUUUUUCUUAGAUGAAUUAAAACCAGUUUCUGGAAGAUUUUAUGGUCUGAUAAAAUUGCUCUUUCGUGCUUUAAAAUUUAAAAUUUUUUCUUGAGAUUCAUAUUAUAUGCCUGCAAUUAUGCUAUCUGGAUCAUUAAUUUUGAUUUUAAAAACAUUUUUCAUUGCCUAUCUGCAUCAUGUUAAAGGAGAAACUCAUGUGAUUAUGUAUUUGUGCGUUACUUGAAUUUUUCAAAAUUGUGAUUUUUUCAGGCACAUGAAUGCAUAGUCAGACAUGUACUUUGAACUAUACUUUCCUGUUGGAUAUUCUAUUAGCAUGUUAUUAAGUGCAUGUUUUUCACACUAACACACUAAUGUUGUUUGAUAAUAUGUCUUAAAGAACUGGACAAUAUUAAUUCUUCCUAAUUCUUCCUUUUUUCCAUCUUCAUCCUUCAACAUUUUGUUCUUCUCUUUCUCUCUUCUUGGUCCAUUUAUGUCACUUUGCAUCUAUGAAAUAGUUUCUUGCAUGGAAUUGUUUAAUUUGUGCUUUUGUAAAGGAAUAUAUUGUUUCAAACCCAAGAUUAAGAAUUAAGUUUUUGCAAAUUCAUUCAAUAUGUCAUUCAGACUGAACCUAUUAAAAAUUCUCAAAAUGCAAAAAAAAAUCGAGUUCAAUGAGAAUAAACAAGUCAGAAUUUGAAGUUACUUAAUGGUAUUGUUGGCGACUCUAUUGCCCCUUACAUAGAAAUGACACUUUGAGAGGACGAACAGUGCAUAAAUAGUUGUACUCUAAGUAAUGCAAGUAUACUGUAUGUGGGCCUACUUCAUUAUACAAGUACUGCUUUAUAACAUAUGUUUCUCUUUUCUAGAUAACACGUGUUCCAUUUGCUACUUUUCGGAGACACAUGUAUGGCCACAUUUAUUCAUCAUCUCUAUCCUUUUUCUUAGAUGAAUUAAAAGCAGCUUCUGGAUGAUUUUAUGGCUUUCCAUAGUCAAGUUUAUCUACCUCAGAUACCAGAAAGUACAACCUUUAUCAAUCGACGAAGAAACACUUUGCUUGGAAUUUUUCACUAACGGAAAGAAAGCCCUCGUUAUAAUGCAUUCACUAUUAGCUGACAUUUGCUCUAUUUUUGGGGAUUCUCUAUUUUUCCCUAGUUUUGCUUGUUGAAGAUGUGACAUGUCUUCUAUGGGACUUCAUGCCCCUUUCUCUGUUGAGGAUUUGAUGCACAACGACCCUUACUGAAAAAGAGACGUAUCAUUUGUGAUUAAUUUUUUGUUUGUUGUUGGUCAUUACACUUGUUGAUUUUUAAAGUAUUUUUUCAGUUUCUUAUGAAUUGUUGUAUGUGGCAGUUGCUUGCAUGGCUGCAGCACGGUCGCAAGAGGGUAUUUUGCACUGAAAUAUUAUGGGAUCUGCUUUGUUGAUUACCAAAUAUGGGAUGCAAUAAUCAUUGAUUCUAAGUUGGCAAAUUAUUUCAAUCCUGUAUAAGAGCAUCCUUUGUCAAGUCAAGUUGUCACAUUUUGGUAAAGGGCUUCAGAACUUCUACUAAGUGCUACAAAUUAUGAAAUAGAUAUUGAUCUUUGGAGUGCAAGUCACCUCAUGGUUGAAUUGUUUGUAGGAAAAGCUAAAUGGACUAUGAGUGGAGUUUUGGGUGUUGUAAAAGAAAAUACAAUGAAAAUAUUCAUUAGUGACAGGUGUUAUGUCCCUUUUCAUUUCGGAGGAAAUAUGGAAAUACGCUUAGUGAAGUUCAUGAAGUGAUUUACCUUGGACAUCAUAAGAACCUAUAUGAUCAAGAUCAAAGAGCUGCAGUUAUGCUCCAACAAUGACGUUCUAUGGACUGCUUCAAUUGGAUGGCGCCUAAUCACCGUCCAGAUGGAUGGACGAUUUUAGACAAAUAAUUGUUUCAGAUUGAAAAAGGAUUUGCAUUAAAUCAUAGAGAUAUUUUUUUUCUAUACUCAAGUUUGCAUAUAACAAAUUCCUUUUUUGUAUGCUGUCAAAAAUAACUUUGUAAAUAUAAUUAUGUUGGGCCCGUGCUCAUAUCCAUCUA